rnacentral:rRNA from 1 species
UACGUAGGGGGCAAGCGUUGUCCGGAAUCAUUGGGCGUAAAGAGCGUGUAGGCGGCCUGGUAAGUCCGCUGUGAAAGUCCAGGGCUCAACCCUGGAAUGCCGGUGGAAACUGUCAGGCUCGAGUCCGGAAGAGGCGAGUGGAAUUCCUGGUGUAGCGGUGAAAUGCGCAGAUACCAGGAGGAACACCAAUAGCGAAGGCAGCUCGCUGGGACGUUACUGACACUGAGGCGCGAAAGCGUGGGGAGCGAACAGG